AAAAGCAGUCUUCCCUUUAAAGUAGUUAUAAUCAUAUGCUAAGUUUUUUUCAUAGCGUAUCAUUAUAUAAAGGUAAAUACAAAG
rnacentral:snoRNA from 1 species